UCCUUGGUGGUCCAAUAGUUAAGACUCUGAGCUUCCAAUGCAGAGGGUGUGGGUUCAAUUCCUGGUUGGGGAA
rnacentral:tRNA from 1 species